CCAAUAGCGUAUAUUAAAGUUGUUGCAGUUAAAAAGCUCGUAGUUGAACUUCGGGGUCUACCCAUUGGUCAGGCUUAAUUGUCUGUACUGGUGAGAUGGAUCUCUACCUUCUGAGGAACUUUCAUGCCAUUUAUUUGGUGUGGUUCGAAAUCAGGACUGUUACUUUGAAAAAAUUAGAGUGUUUAAAGCAGACUAUCGUCUGAAUACAUUAGCAUGGAAUAAUGAAAUAGGACGGACUGAUUCUAUUUCGUUGGUUUCUAGGAUCACCGUAAUGAUUAAUAGGGAUAGUUGGGGGCAUUAGUAUUCAAUUGUCAGAGGUGAAAUUCUUGGAUUUAUUGAAGACUAACUACUGCGAAAGCAUUUGCCAAGGAUGUUUUCAUUAAUCAAGAACGAAAGUUAGGGGAUCGAAGACGAUCAGAUACCGUCGUAGUCUUAACCAUAAACUAUGCCGACUAGGGAUCGGACGAAGUUAAUUUUAUAAUGACGCGUUCGGCACCUUACG
rnacentral:rRNA from 1 species